UGGGAAUAUUGGACAAUGGGGCAACCCUGAUCCAGCCAUGCCGCGUGAGUGAUGAAGGCCUUAGGGUCGUAAAGCUCUUUCGCCUGUGAAGAUAAUGACGGUAGCAGGUAAAGAAACCCCGGCUAACUCCGUGCCAGCAGCCGCGGUAAUACGGAGGGGGUUAGCGUUGUUCGGAAUUACUGGGCGUAAAGCGCACGUAGGCGGACCAGAAAGUUGGGGGUGAAAUCCCGGGGGCUCAACCCCGGAACUGCCUCCAAAACUAUUGGUCUAGAGUUCGAGAGAGGUGAGUGGAAUUCCAAGUGUAGAGGUGAAAUUCGUAGAUAUUUGGAGGAACACCAGUGGCGAAGGCGGCUCACUGGCUCGAUACUGACGCUGAGGUGCGAAAAGUGUGGGGAGCAAAACAGGAUUAGAUACCCCUGGUAGUCCCACACCGUAAAACGAUGAAUGCCCAGUCGUCGGGUAGCAUGCUAUUCGGUGA
rnacentral:rRNA from 1 species